GUUCCAGAGAUCCAGAUCUCUUGGUGGAUCAUCACAGCAGAGCUCUUCUAGGCUUCUUGGUCAUCAGGUCAGACUUGCUGAUUAAGGGUUGUAGCCUAGGUUGAUUGUAGAUCUUUAUAUAGGGCUGUGACUGUUGUGAUUCUUUGUACACAUUGUUGGUUGGUAUCUAUGAAGGAAGUCGUUGUUUAGAUCUUGUGUGCUUUAUUAUGGUUGUGACUUCUGUUUGUAAUUGCUUUGGUGCUUUGAUGUGAG
rnacentral:misc_RNA from 1 species